rnacentral:rRNA from 1 species
UAGGGAAUCUUCCGCAAUGGACGAAAGUCUGACGGAGCGACGCCGCGUGAGUGAUGAAGGUUUUCGGAUCGUAAAACUCUGUUGUUAGGGAAGAACAAGUACCGUUCGAAUAGGGCGGUACCUUGACGGUACCUAACCAGAAAGCCACGGCUAACUACGUGCCAGCAGCCGCGGUAAUACGUAGGUGGCAAGCGUUGUCCGGAAUUAUUGGGCGUAAAGCGCGCGCAGGUGGUUUCUUAAGUCUGAUGUGAAAGCCCACGGCUCAACCGUGGUGGGUCAUUGGAAACUGGGGAACUUGAGUGCAGAAGAGGAAAGUGGAAUUCCAAGUGUAGCGGUGAAAUGCGUAGAUAUUUGGAGGAACACCAGUGGCGAAGGCGACUUUCUGGUCUGUAACUGACACUGAGGCGCGAAAGCGUGGGGAGCAAACAGGAUUAGAUACCCUGGUGGUCCACGCCGUAAACGAUGAGUGCUAAGUGUUAGAGGGUUUCCGCCCUUUAGUGCUGCAGCUAACGC